rnacentral:rRNA from 1 species
CCUACGGGGGGCAGCAGUGAGGAAUAUUGGUCAAUGGACGAGAGUCUGAACCAGCCAAGUAGCGUGAAGGAUGACUGCCCUAUGGGUUGUAAACUUCUUUUAUAUGGGAAUAAAAUGUUCCACGUGUGGGAUUUUGUAUGUACCAUAUGAAUAAGGAUCGGCUAACUCCGUGCCAGCAGCCGCGGUAAUACGGAGGAUCCGAGCGUUAUCCGGAUUUAUUGGGUUUAAAGGGAGCGUAGGUGGAUGGUUAAGUCAGUUGUGAAAGUUUGCGGCUCAACCGUAAAAUUGCAGUUGAAACUGGCAGUCUUGAGUACAGUAGAGGUGGGCGGAAUUCGUGGUGUAGCGGUGAAAUGCUUAGAUAUCACGAAGAACUCCGAUUGCGAAGGCAGUUCACUGGACUGCAACUGACACUGAGGCUCGAAAGUGUGGGUAUCAAACAGGAUUAGAUACCCUUGUAGUC